rnacentral:rRNA from 1 species
AGCGAACGCUGGCGGCAGGCCUAACACAUGCAAGUCGAACGAACCUUUCGGGGUUAGUGGCGGACGGGUGAGUAACACGUGGGAACGUGCCUUUAGGUUCGGAAUAACUCAGGGAAACUUGUGCUAAUACCGAAUGUGCCCUUCGGGGGAAAGAUUUAUCGCCUUUAGAGCGGCCCGCGUCUGAUUAGCUAGUUGGUUGAGGUAAUGGCUCACCAAGGCGACGAUCAGUAGCUGGUCUGAGAGGAUGAUCAGCCACAUUGGGACUGAGACACGGCCCAAACUCCUACGGGAGGCAGCAGUGGGGAAUCUUGCGCAAUGGGCGAAAGCCUGACGCAGCCAUGCCGCGUGAAUCAUGAAGGUCUUAGGAUUGUAAAAUUCUUUCACCGGGGACGAUAAUGACGGUACCCGGAGAAGAAGCCCCGGCUAACUUCGUG